ACAAGUCUGUUGUCCGUUCUUGUGCUGUCGUGGGGGUUGUACCUUCUGCGUCAUGUGCAAGGACGACAUUUGUUCCAUGCUGCACGUUUACUCUGCACAUGACAUUCUCUACGAAUCAUCUGAUUAUUGACAAUGCUCAUAAACAAA
rnacentral:misc_RNA from 1 species